GGAGAGCGUUCUGUAAGCCUGUGAAGGUGUCUUGUAAAGGAUGCUGGAGGUAUCAGAAGUGCGAAUGCUGACAUGAGUAGCGAUAAAGGGGGUGAAAGGCCCCCUCGCCGUAAGCCCAAGGUUUCCUACGCAACGUUCAUCGGCGUAGGGUGAGUCGGCCCCUAAGGCGAGGCAGAGAUGCGUAGCUGAUGGGAAGCAGGUUAAUAUUCCUGCACCGUCGUAUGAUGCGAUGGGGGGACGGAUCGCGGAAGGUUGUCCGGGUGUUGGAUGUCCCGGUCCCUGCAUUGGAGAUGGCACUUAGGCAAAUCCGGGUGCGUGAUUCAAGGGUGUGGGGCGAGCGACUUUAGGUCGCGAAGCAAUUGGAAGUGGUUCCAAGAAAAGCCUCUAAGCUUCAGUCAUACGAGACCGUACCGCAAACCGACACAGGUGGGCGAGAUGAGUAUUCUAAGGCGCUUGAGAGAACUCGGGAGAAGGAACUCGGCAAAUUGGUACCGUAACUUCGGGAUAAGGUACGCCCUUGUAGUUUGACUGGCUCGCGCCAGAAGGACGAAGGGGUUGCAAUAAAAUGGUGGCUGCGACUGUUUAAUAAAAACACAGCACUCUGCAAACACGAAAGUGGACGUAUAGGGUGUGACGCCUGCCCGGUGCCGGAAGAUUAAAUGAUGGGGUGCAAGCUCUUGAUUGAAGUCCCGGUAAACGGCGGCCGUAACUAUAACGGUCCUAAGGUAGCGAAAUUCCUUGUCGGGUAAGUUCCGACCUGCACGAAUGGCGUAACGAUGGCCACACUGUCUCCUCCCGAGACUCAGCGAAGUUGAAGUGUUUGUGAUGAUGCAAUCUCCCCGCGGCUAGACGGAAAGACCCCAUGAACCUUUACUGUAGCUUUGCAUUGGACUUUGAACCGAUCUGUGUAGGAUAGGUGGGAGGCUUUGAAACCGGGACGCUAGUUUCGGUGGAGCCGUCCUUGAAAUACCACCCUGGUUUGUUUGAGGUUCUAACCUUGGCCCGUGAAUCCGGGUCGGGGACAGUGCAUGGUAGGCAGUUUGACUGGGGCGGUCUCCUCCCAAAGUGUAACGGAGGAGUUCGAAGGUACGCUUGGUACGGUCGGACAUCGUACCUAAAGUGCAAUGGCAAAAGCGUGCUUAACUGCGAGACCGACAAGUCGAGCAGGUGCGAAAGCAGGACAUAGUGAUCCGGUGGUUCUGUAUGGAAGGGCCAUCGCUCAACGGAUAAAAGGUACUCUGGGGAUAACAGGCUGAUACCGCCCAAGAGUUCAUAUCGACGGCGGUGUUUGGCACCUCGAUGUCGGCUCAUCUCAUCCUGGGGCUGUAGCCGGUCCCAAGGGUAUGGCUGUUCGCCAUUUAAAGAGGUACGUGAGCUGGGUUUAAAACGUCGUGAGACAGUUUGGUCCCUAUCUGCCGUGGGCGUUGGAAUCUUGACGGGGGCUGCUCCUAGUACGAGAGGACCGGAGUGGACGUACCGCUGGUGUACCUGUUGUCUCGCCAGAGGCAUCGCAGGGUAGCUAUGUACGGAAGAGAUAACCGCUGAAAGCAUCUAAGCGGGAAACUUGCCUGAAGAUGAGGAUUCCCUGGAGACUUGAUCUCCCUGAAGGGUCGUUCGAGACCAGGACGUUGAUAGGCUGGGUGUGGAAGCGCAGUAAUGCGUUCAGCUAACCAGUACUAAUUGCCCGUGCGGCUUGAUCCUAUAACC
rnacentral:rRNA from 1 species